rnacentral:rRNA from 1 species
GCCCAGACAGCCAGGAUGUUGGCUUAGAAGCAGCCAUCAUUUAAAGAAAGCGUAAUAGCUCACUGGUCGAGUCGGCCUGCGCGGAAGAUGUAACGGGGCUAAACCAUGCACCGAAGCUGCGGCAGCGGACGUAUCACUUAAAGCGAUUCAGCGGAUGACGAUUGACGGAGCGAAGCGACGUCAAAGCGUAUACAAAGUCGAGUCGGUUUAAGGAUACGUUCGUUGGGUAGGGGAGCGUUCUGUAAGCCUGCGAAGGUGGCCUGUGAGGGUUGCUGGAGGUAUCAGAAGUGCGAAUGCUGACAUAAGUAACGAUAAAGCGGGUGAAAAGCCCGCUCGCCGGAAGACCAA